rnacentral:tRNA from 1 species
GGUGGAAUACCCAAGCGGCCAAAGGGGACUGACUGUAAAUCAGUUGGCUUACGCCUUCGAAGGUUCGAAUCCUUCUUCCACCACCA